rnacentral:lncRNA from 1 species
AGACGACAAGGGCCAUCCAACCCCAUUCUGCCAUGAAGGAAAACACAAUCAGCAGUGGGAAGGGAAUAUCUCAUUGAAGCAGCAGAAGUGUCCGUCCCUUGGAAGAAAGGAAAUAGAUCCCAGGAGAUUCAAACCUCUCUCUUCUUUUUGGAGGAAUCUUGGCCAGAAACAGCCCAUCAAUGUUCCCUCUCCUCUUUCCUUUGAGAUCCACCAUGGCUGACCUUUCCUUUUAAUCACACAAGGCAUAACCAGGAAGUCCUCUCUUCCCUUUCUUCCCCAGCCUCUCUCCACCACAAAGGUCUGCUCAUAGCCACUCAGCCAAGAGCAGCAGAACUGUCGAAUAAGCACACAGGGCCACCAACCUCUCCACCCAAUGAGGUGGAUUACAUUCUGCAGAAGGCUGGUGUUACUGAAUAGCUACUAACUCUUGCUUGAGGAAAACCUUUCUUUUUUCUUUUUGGUCAUCAGGGUACAAUCUUGGCAACUAUUAUCAUGCUCUUGCAAUCUUGUCGUGGUUUAUACAAUAGGAGUGGGCUGGUGAUGGAAGAAAAUAGGCAUUUGACCAAGCAAAGCUAAGGUUUCAUUGCUAUAGGUUUCAGUAGGAAUGCCUCAUAGGUUUCUUUAGUGUGAAAAAUAAAUAAAAUAAAUUGGUGAAAAAUCACAGUCCCAUGUUUACAACAUGCCACCCAACUGUGAAUAAGUGUAACCCAAAGAUCUUUGAUUUAUUGUUUUUAUAAAACCAUAGUUUAUAUAUAUAUCUCCCCACAACAAUUAAUGUAGCAUGAGUCAUCACUGGACAAAUCACAGUGAGGUGUUUGCAUUGGCAUUAUGUACAAUACUGUUUCAGUACCAAGGCCAGUUCCCAGAAAGAUUGGCAUUUUGACUCCCUCUUUUUUCAGCCUGACAACACUAUAGAAAGUUUCCCCCCCUCCAUGGCCUAUCAUUCCUUAGCUUCUUAUGUAAAUUUGCAGUUCUCUAUGUAUGUUAUUACUUUAUGCAUUAAUGCUUUUUAUACCCCCGAUGUAUAAUUCUAUCAUGGUCUUUUGCAACUUAGAUACUGUAUUUCUGAAGAGACAUUUUACAAACUCAGUGGUCUUCAGGAUGGAUAGGGACCUCUUUUCAAAGUUUCUCUAUUCCUUCCCUCCUUAAAUAAAAAACAGGUGGAAAGCCUUAACAGAGGCAUUGCUUCUCUCAAGACCAUUACCAACUACUCCUCUUCUGGUGAUGAAAGAACUAUUGAAUUUUUACGGUUGUCAUGUCAGUGAGUUGCCAUCUUUCCUUUUUCUUGGAUGAGAUAAGCCUAUAAAGGAGUGAUUGUUUUAUGCUAUGAAGCAAGGGAGGAACAGCACUGAAUUUCUUCACUAUUAUAAUUGAAAACUUCCAUAUGUACCUCAAAAAUGCAAUCGAGUAUGGAAAUAGAAAAAUUAACUGCCCGUUUUUAGUAUGCCAUAACAUUUGGAUUGGUGACUAGAACAAAAGGGUGGAGGAGCUGAAGCACAGGGAUUUUCAUUCCCAGGUAGAUGGAGGAGAUAAAAAAGGAGCCUCUUCUAUUAUGGUUAUGAUGGGAAUUUGCCUGCUACAAUAGCAGUGCUUCUGUAUUAUUAGCAAGCAGAGUGGCCAGCCAAGACUACAGGUUUCACAACAGAGGAAGAGGCUUCCUUGAUCAGACUCAGGAUUCUUCAGUUCUGCCAACAAAGUGUUGCAGGCUAUAUUUCAGAACUGGCAAAACCUCUACCGACACCGAGUCUUCCUUGCCUAAGAAAACUCUAUGGAAUUCAUGAGGUUGACCAGUGAUUUGGAGGAGCAACAACAGCAACUACUUUCAAAAAACUACUAUGAAAAUUGUACAGUAAAUGAUCUGAUUAAAAUGUAAUUAUUCAAGCUCUUCCUUUGACAAAGGGGUUCAAUUUAGCUAUAAUAACUAACAUUUUUUUUUAAAUAAAGAAGGCCCACAACAAUAUGUUACAGCAUGGAGCACUCCCCUUUCCCAGGAUUCUCAUUUCUUCCCAUUCAGUCUUUGAAUUAGGAGUUUAUUUCUCAAUCCUCAUGAAAAAUCAGCUAGGAUUUCAUGUGCACUAUAUAUUCUGUUAAGCUCUUUUGGCCCCCUCAAUUUGAAUAUUUUUUUCUUUGUUGGAAUUUUUUUAAUAUAUACUAUAAACCCUAAGGUUUCCCCAAGCUUGCUUAUCCUGCCAUGUAAGCUGGUGGGUGGUUAUGUUUUGAUUAUGAAGACUGACACUCAAAGAAUGAUUUUGCUGUUAAUAUAUACAACCGUUUUAUCUUCAUGAAUCAAAAGUCCAGACAAUAUGGUGCACAAUAAACAUGCACAAUAAAGAAUUUUCAGAAAAUCUCUAUAAAUUUGUAAGGCUCUUUUGCUUUCUAGUAAAUAUGAUGCUAUAACUCCAUAGAUAUAAACAUUUUUUAAAAAAGAUUUUUCAAUAGUAUGUAAAAUCCCACAUCCUUUGAUUAAUAGGCUCAACAUGGAUUUUAUUUGUUUUAUAAAACUGUACCAAGGGAGAGGAAGAAAAAGAACAUGGUAAAGGAAUCUAAUUGGAAAAUUAAUAGGGCGUAGGAGUCAAUAUUUCUACCAUUAAAAUAAAUAUCAAUAGGUUAACGAGGGAUACCAUUUUCCCACUCAUCUUUAGUUUUUAAUUUAAAAAAAAAAAACCAAGGUGAUGCAUGUAAUAUUUUAGGUUAAAUUUGGAGUGCCAUAAAAAAGCUGCUGAAAUUACUCCAUUUACAACUUUCCCCCUAAAGAAUAAAUAUUGAAGCCAAUUAUUCCUUCAAGGGAGGAGGAUUCCAUAACUUGGGUUCCACAGCUGAAAAGAACUCCUAGUUCUAAUUUGACAGCGUGAAAGAACCGUGCUCUCUAUGCCUAUACGUUUUAGGUAGUUCUCCUAUGCUUAAAACAACAAGGUCCACGAUUCUCACUGUUAGUUGAUUCCUAUCAAGUCUUUCUAUUAAUUAUUUGUUGUUGUUUUUUUAAGGCCUCUCAAUAUAUUCAUUUAAUACAUUUGUAUUGCCUCAUUGGUGACUUAGAAGAUACCUUCCUGCAAACCUCAGUUUUUUGGCAGGUGUAUUGAGCUCAAGCCAUUUAGGGGAUUCUUGGUAUGGUGGCAAUCUUAUCAGUCUCCCCUUUCUUUCCCAUUUUGCUGCUUGUAAGAAAACCUGAAUGCUGGAUUUAGAAAGGAGGCUUGGAGGCAGCUGGUGCUUAUUUUGCCAGAAAUAUGGGGCACACAGCAAUCAUAGGAUGCGUUACUAUAGAAUCCUAUUAUUUCACAGCUUGUGCUUUAUUGCGCUGUAUACUGUGGAGUCAUAGCUGCAGCCUGACACCAAAUUUCAGUUUCUCUAGCCCACAUUUUUCCAGUGCCUAAGGACCUUAUCACAUUAGUCUCCUCAAGCAGGGGAAAGUGGGGGCAUCAGUGGGGCAGUAGGGCAAAUCUAGUGGGCAGCAUGUGAACCCGCAUCACCUGCAUCACUCCCUUCCCUAUCCCGCGGGGGGGGGGGGGGGAAGAAGGGGAAGCGUCACAGCCUGGUUUCUCCCUGCGCUUUCCCUGUUCUAUCAAAUGAGAACAUGGGAAGCCUCGAUGAACUGUGCUGAAGCCUUCUGUGUUCUCAGGGAUCCAUCAUAGGAUGCUACCAGCACAGUUCAUGGACAGAGCCUGCCGG